rnacentral:rRNA from 1 species
GAUGAACGCUGGCUACAGGCUUAACACAUGCAAGUCGAGGGGAAACGACGGGGAAGCUUGCUUCCCCGGGCGUCGACCGGCGCACGGGUGAGUAACGCGUAUCCAACCUGCCUCUGACUGAGGGAUAACCCGUCGAAAGUCGGCCUAAUACCUCAUGGCAUCGUCUGCGGGCAUCCAACGACGAUUAAAGAUUUCAUCGGUCAGAGAUGGGGAUGCGUCUGAUUAGCUUGUUGGCGGGGUAACGGCCCGCCAAGGCGACGAUCAGUAGGGGUUCUGAGAGGAAGGUCCCCCACAUUGGAACUGAGACACGGUCCAAACUCCUACGGGAGGCAGCAGUGAGGAAUAUUGGUCAAUGGGCGAGAGCCUGAACCAGCCAAGUAGCGUGCAGGAUGACGGCCCUAUGGGUUGUAAACUGCUUUUAUGCGGGGAUAAAGUGAGGGACGUGUCCUUCAUUGCAGGUACCGCAUGAAUAAGGACCGGCUAAUUCCGU